GACGAACGCUGGCGGCGUGCUUAACACAUGCAAGUCGAGCGAUGAAGCACCUUCGGGUGCGGAUUAGCGGCGAACGGGUGAGGAACACGUGAGGAAUCUGCCUUUCACUUCGGGAUAACUCCGGGAAACCGGGGCUAAUACCGGAUAUUUUCAACUGGCGGCAUCGCCGGUUGAAGAAAGUUUUUCGGUGAAAGAUGACCUCGCGGCCUAUCAGCUUGUUGGUGAGGUAAUGGCUCACCAAGGCGACGACGGGUAGCCGGCCUGAGAGGGCGACCGGCCACACUGGGACUGAGACACGGCCCAGACUCCUACGGGAGGCAGCAGUGGGGAAUAUUGGGCAAUGGAGGAAACUCUGACCCAGCGACGCCGCGUGAGGGAUGAAGGCCUUCGGGUUGUAAACCUCUUUCAGCAGAGAAUAAGCGAAAGUGAAGGUACCUGCAGAAGAAGCACCGGCUAACUAUGUGCCAGCAGCCGCAGUAA
rnacentral:rRNA from 1 species